AACGAACGCUGGCGGCAGGCCUAACACAUGCAAGUCGAGCGCCCUUUCGGGGGAGCGGCGGACGGGUGAGUAACGCGUGGGAAUAUGCCCUUCUCUACGGAAUAGCCUCGGGAAACUGAGAGUAAUACCGUAUACGCCCUGCGGGGGAAAGAUUUAUCGGGGAAGGAUUAGCCCGCGUUGGAUUAGGUAGUUGGUGGGGUAAUGGCCUACCAAGCCGACGAUCCAUAGCUGGUUUGAGAGGAUGAUCAGCCACACUGGGACUGAGACACGGCCCAGACUCCUACGGGAGGCAGCAGUGGGGAAUCUUAGACAAUGGGGGCAACCCUGAUCUAGCCAUGCCGCGUGAGUGAUGAAGGCCUUAGGGUUGUAAAGCUCUUUCAGCUGGGAAGAUAAUGACGGUACCAGCAGAAGAAGCCCCGGCUAACUCCGUG
rnacentral:rRNA from 1 species